rnacentral:lncRNA from 1 species
GAGACAGCAGUCAGAAGGCCAGACACCGAGCCACUGCCCUCCCACCAACUGGGCUCAUUUCAGAAGGAUGAACGAACCUGCUCCGCUCUCACUGGUGCACUCAGUCUUGAACUCAUCCUUCGGUGCCCAGCAAGAAAUGACCUUCCUGGCGAAGUUUGUGCGAUUUUCAUAAGCACAUGUCUCACUUCCUCCGCCCCAGAGCAUCCUGUAUAAAUGUGCUGUGCAUCUCUCUCUUGAGCGAGAACACGCGCUCUUAAAGAACAGAAGCUGUGCCUACUUCUUCAGAGGUGUGAUCUCUGGCACAUGGCGGGGAGUCAGUGUUCCCCUUGUACGGUUAAAUAGACUUCUCCUCCCAUCUAUUACUUGAACUUCUGCUAACUGACUCAGAAUAUUCCUUCUGUCUUCAUGGCCG